AACAGCUCAAAUUUGAAAUCUGGCGCAAGCCCGAGUUGUAAUUUGUAGAGGAUGCUUCUGGGCAGCGGCCGGUCUAAGUUCCUUGGAACAGGACGUCAUAGAGGGUGAGAAUCCCGUAUGUGACCGGUUGGCACCCUAUACGUAGUUCCUUCGACGAGUCGAGUUGUUUGGGAAUGCAGCUCUAAAUGGGUGGUAAAUUCCAUCUAAAGCUAAAUAUCGGCCAGAGACCGAUAGCGCACAAGUAGAGUGAUCGAAAGAUGAAAAGCACUUUGGAAAGAGAGUUAAAAAGCACGUGAAAUUGUUGAAAGGGAAGCGCAUGCAAUCAGACUUGUCGGUGGUGUUCCGCCGGUCUUCUGACCGGUCUACUCGCCGCCGACAGGCCAGCAUCGUGUGGGCGCGCCGGAUAAAGGUGUCGGGAAUGUGGCCCCUCGGGGUGUUAUAGCCCGACGCACAAUACGGUGCCGCCCGCGCGAGGUCCGCGCUUCGGCUAGGAUGCUGGCGUAAUGGUUGUACGCGGCCCGUCUUGAAACACGGACCAAGGAGUCUAACAUCUAUGCGAGUUUUCGGGUGUCAAACCCCUAAGCGGAAUGAAAGUGAACGGAGGUGGGAACCCUUUGGGUGCACCAUCGACCGAUCCUGAUGUCUUCGGAUGGAUUUGAGUAAGAGCAUAGCUGUUGGGACCCGAAAGAUGGUGAACUAUGCCUGAAUAGGGUGAAGCCAGAGGAAACUCUGGUGGAGGCUCGCAGCGGUUCUGACGUGCAAAUCGAUCGUCAAAUUUGGGUAUAGNNNNNNNNNNNNNNNNNNNNNNNNNNNNNNNNNNNNNNNNNNNNNNNNNNNNNNNNNNNNNCAGUAACGUUUUCAGUUUUAUGAGGGAAAGCGAAUGAUUAUAGGCCUUGGGGUUGAAACAACCUUAACCUAUUCUCAAACUUUAAAUAUGUAAGAAGUCCUUGUUACUUAGUUGAACGUGGACGUUAGAAUGUAGCGUUACUAGUGGGCCAUUUUUGGUAAGCAGAACUGGCGAUGCGGGAUGAACCGAACGCGAGGUUAAGGUGCCGGAAUGCACGCUCAUCAGACACCACAAAAGGUGUUAGUUCAUCUAGACAGCAGGACGGUGGCCAUGGAAGUCGGAACCCGCUAAGGAGUGUGUAACAACUCACCUGCCGAAUGAACUAGCCCUGAAAAUGGAUGGCGCUCAAGCGUGCUACCCAUACCUCGCCGCC
rnacentral:rRNA from 1 species